rnacentral:rRNA from 1 species
GACGAACGCUGGCGGCGCGCCUAACACAUGCAAGUCGAACGAGCGAGAGGAGGUUUACUUUCUCAAGCGAGUGGCGAACGGGUGAGUAACGCGUGAGGAACCUGCCUCAAAGAGGGGGACAACAGUUGGAAACGACUGCUAAUACCGCAUAAGCCCACGACCCGGCAUCGGGUAGAGGGAAAAGGAGCAAUCCGCUUUGAGAUGGCCUCGCGUCCGAUUAGCUAGUUGGUGAGGUAAUGGCCCACCAAGGCGACGAUCGGUAGCCGGACUGAGAGGUUGAACGGCCACAUUGGGACUGAGACACGGCCCAGACUCCUACGGGAGGCAGCAGUGGGGAAUAUUGCACAAUGGGGGAAACCCUGAUGCAGCGACGCCGCGUGGAGGAAGAAGGUCUUCAGAUUGUAAACUCCUGUUGUUGAGGAAGAUAAUGACGGUACUCAACAAGGAAGUGACGGCUAACUACGUG